rnacentral:lncRNA from 1 species
AGCUUGUGUAUAUACCAUUUUAAGCAGCCGUGAUGACUGUGUGAUCUAAAUACUUAUUUCUGUAACCAACAGCCAGUCAUCACUAAGGUUAGAAUUCCGAAUUCUGCUUGUGCGACUGAACUCCAAUCUUAAUUGACUUGGAUAGACAAUUUUCUAAUCGAAGAUUUGUGGUUUUCUCCCGGCACCCCGAUUUCAUCCACCACUGUAACUGGUCGCAACGAAAUAGUUCAA